GGCCAUCACUGAGUGUUAGCGAGGAACUC
rnacentral:piRNA from 1 species